UUAAGCGACUAAGCGUACACGGUGGAUGCCCUGGCAGUCAGAGGCGAUGAAGGACGUGCUAAUCUGCGAAAAGCGACGGCGAGGUGAUAUGAACCUUUGACCCGUCGAUGUCCGAAUGGGGAAACCCAGUGCAAUCCGUUGCACUAUCGUUAACUGAAUACAUAGGUUAACGAGGCGAACCGGGGGAACUGAAACAUCUAAGUACCCCGAGGAAAAGAAAUCAACCGAGAUUCCCCCAGUAGCGGCGAGCGAACGGGGAGCAGCCCGGAGUCUGAAUCAGCUUGUGUGUUAGUGGAAGCGUCUGGAAAGUCGCACGGUACAGGGUGACAGUCCCGUACACGAAAAUGCACAGGUUGUGAACUCGAAGAGUAGGGCGGGACACGUGGUAUCCUGUCUGAAUAUGGGGGGACCAUCCUCCAAGGCUAAAUACUCCUGACUGACCGAUAGUGAACCAGUACCGUGAGGGAAAGGCGAAAAGAACCCCGGCGAGGGGAGUGAAAAAGAACCUGAAACCGUGUACGUACAAGCAGUGGGAGCACCUUCGGGUGUGACUGCGUACCUUUUGUAUAAUGGGUCAGCGACUUAUAUUCUGUAGCAAGGUUAACCGUAUAGGGGAGCCGCAGGGAAACCGAGUCUUAACUGGGCGUUAAGUUGCAGGGUAUAGACCCGAAACCCGGUGAUCUAGCCAUGGGCAGGUUGAAGGUUGGGUAACACUAACUGGAGGACCGAACCGACUAAUGUUGAAAAAUUAGCGGAUGACCUGUGGCUGGGGGUGAAAGGCCAAUCAAACCGGGAGAUAGCUGGUUCUCCCCGAAAGCUAUUUAGGUAGCGCCUCGUGAAUUCAUCUUCGGGGGUAGAGCACUGUUUCGGCUAGGGGGCCAUCCCGGCUUACCAACCCGAUGCAAACUACGAAUACCGAAGAAUGUUAUCACGGGAGACACACGGCGGGUGCUAACGUCCGUCGUGAAGAGGGAAACAACCCAGACCGCCAGCUAAGGUCCCAAAGUCAUGGUUAAGUGGGAAACGAUGUGGGAAGGCACAGACAGCCAGGAUGUUGGCUUAGAAGCAGCCAUCAUUUAAAGAAAGCGUAAUAGCUCACUGGUCGAGUCGGCCUGCGCGGAAGAUGUAACGGGGCUAAACCAUGCACCGAAGCUGCGGCAGCGACGCUUAUGCGUUGUUGGGUAGGGGAGCGUUCUGUAAGCCGUUGAAGGUGGCCUGUGAGGGUUGCUGGAGGUAUCAGAAGUGCGAAUGCUGACAUAAGUAACGAUAAAGCGGGUGAAAAGCCCGCUCGCCGGAAGACCAAGGGUUCCUGUCCAACGUUAAUCGGGGCAGGGUGAGUCGACCCCUAAGGCGAGGCCGAAAGGCGUAGUCGAUGGGAAACAGGUUAAUAUUCCUGUACUUGGUGUUACUGCGAAGGGGGGACGGAGAAGGCUAUGUCAGCCGGGCGACGGUUGUCCCGGUUUAAGCGUGUAGGUGUGUGUUCCAGGCAAAUCCGGUUCACUUUAACACUGAGGCGUGAUGACGAGGCACUACGGUGCUGAAGUGAUAAAUGCCCUGCUUCCAGGAAAAGCCUCUAAGCAUCAGGUAACACGAAAUCGUACCCCAAACCGACACAGGUGGUCAGGUAGAGAAUACCAAGGCGCUUGAGAGAACUCGGGUGAAGGAACUAGGCAAAAUGGUGCCGUAACUUCGGGAGAAGGCACGCUGAUAUGUAGGUGAAGUCCCUGCGGACGGAGCUGAAAUCAGUCGAAGAUACCAGCUGGCUGCAACUGUUUAUUAAAAACACAGCACUGUGCAAACACGAAAGUGGACGUAUACGGUGUGACGCCUGCCCGGUGCCGGAAGGUUAAUUGAUGGGGUUAGCGGCAACGCGAAGCUCUUGAUCGAAGCCCCGGUAAACGGCGGCCGUAACUAUAACGGUCCUAAGGUAGCGAAAUUCCUUGUCGGGUAAGUUCCGACCUGCACGAAUGGCGUAAUGAUGGCCAGGCUGUCUCCACCCGAGACUCAGUGAAAUUGAACUCGCUGUGAAGAUGCAGUGUACCCGCGGCAAGACGGAAAGACCCCGUGAACCUUUACUAUAGCUUGACACUGAACACUGGUCCUUGAUGUGUAGGAUAGGUGGGAGGCUUUGAAGCGUGGACGCCAGUCUGCGUGGAGCCGUCCUUGAAAUACCACCCUUUAAUGGCUGGUGUUCUAACGUGGACCCGUGAUCCGGGUUGCGGACAGUGUCUGGUGGGUAGUUUGACUGGGGCGGUCUCCUCCCAAAGAGUAACGGAGGAGCACGAAGGUUAGCUAAUCCUGGUCGGACAUCAGGAGGUUAGUGCAAUGGCAUAAGCUAGCUUGACUGCGAGAGUGACGGCUCGAGCAGGUGCGAAAGCAGGUCAUAGUGAUCCGGUGGUUCUGAAUGGAAGGGCCAUCGCUCAACGGAUAAAAGGUACUCCGGGGAUAACAGGCUGAUACCGCCCAAGAGUUCAUAUCGACGGCGGUGUUUGGCACCUCGAUGUCGGCUCAUCACAUCCUGGGGCUGAAGUAGGUCCCAAGGGUAUGGCUGUUCGCCAUUUAAAGUGGUACGCGAGCUGGGUUUAGAACGUCGUGAGACAGUUCGGUCCCUAUCUGCCGUGGGCGCUGGAGAAUUGAGGGGGGCUGCUCCUAGUACGAGAGGACCGGAGUGGACGCAUCACUGGUGUUCGGGUUGUCAUGCCAAUGGCACUGCCCGGUAGCUAAAUGCGGAAGAGAUAAGUGCUGAAAGCAUCUAAGCACGAAACUUGCCCCGAGAUGAGUUCUCCCUGAGACUAUAAGUCUCCUGAAGGAACGUUAAAGACUAUGACGUUGAUAGGCCGGGUGUGUAAGCGCAGCGAUGCGUUGAGCUAACCGGUACUAAUGAACCGUGAGGCUUAACCU
rnacentral:rRNA from 1 species